GGAGGGGUGGCAGAGUGGUUGAAUGCGGCGGUCUCGAAAACCGUUAGGCGGGUUUCCCCCGUCUCGAGGGUUCGAAUCCCUCCCCCUCCGCCA
rnacentral:tRNA from 1 species